rnacentral:rRNA from 1 species
AACAGGAUUAGAUACCCUGGUAGUCCACGCCGUAAACGAUGUCGACUUGGAGGUUGUGCCCUUGAGGCGUGGCUUCCGGAGCUAACGCGUUAAGUCGACCGCCUGGGGAGUACGGCCGCAAGGUUAAAACUCAAAUGAAUUGACGGGGGCCCGCACAAGCGGUGGAGCAUGUGGUUUAAUUCGAUGCAACGCGAAGAACCUUACCUACUCUUGACAUCCAGAGAACUUUCCAGAGAUGGAUUGGUGCCUUCGGGAACUCUGAGACAGGUGCUGCAUGGCUGUCGUCAGCUCGUGUUGUGAAAUGUUGGGUUAAGUCCCGCAACGAGCGCAACCCUUAUCCUUUGUUGCCAGCGGUUAGGCCGGGAACUCAAAGGAGACUGCCAGUGAUAAACUGGAGGAAGGUGGGGAUGACGUCAAGUCAUCAUGGCCCUUACGAGUAGGGCUACACACGUGCUACAAUGGCGCAUACAAAGAGAAGCGACCUCGCGAGAGCAAGCGGACCUCAUAAAGUGCGUCGUAGUCCGGAUUGGAGUCUGCAACUCGACUCCAUGAAGUCGGAAUCGCUAGUAAUCGUAGAUCAGAAUGCUACGGUGAAUACGUUCCCGGGCCUUGUACACACCGCCCGUCACACCAUGGGAGUGGGUUGCAAAAGAAGUAGGUAGCUUAACCUUCGGGAGGGCGCUUACCACUUUGUGAUUCAUGACUGGGGUGAAGUCGUAACAAGGUAACC